UAUAUACGCUUUAUAUAUAUAUAUAUAUUAUCGAUAGUACCAAACACUUAAUAUAAUUGAGUUUUAAACCGUUGAAUGAAAGAAUGUGCGGUUAGUAUGAUAGUGACCCUCUAGGGUUGAGUAGAUAGUUAGUUGAAUAGUAUAAUUUAACGGAUGAAAAUGAUCAAAGAGUAUAUCUAACGGUAGAAAACUCGAUAGUACCAAGAGAUUGAUAUUAUCGAUAGUAUAGUAACCGAGCUCUCUCUCUCUCUCUACAUAUAUAUAUCAUA
rnacentral:lncRNA from 1 species